AGCCCGAAAUCAUAGGCAAAUCACAGCAAUGUAUGAAUUAUGAAAGACGCGAUCUGAGAGAAGCAUCGACGCGUCGCCGAUGUUAGCGAGACAUCUAGCAUGUUAAAUAUCUGGACCUGUAUGCGAUUCCAAAUCACGUAAAUCAGGACUUUGCUCUGCUGUUCAAUGCUAAAACAUCCAACAAGUUGUUUGAGAGGUGGAAGACCGCAUUCAAGCACAAGAUCUUCAAUGAAGCCAAGUCUCUUACUUCAACAGGAGAAAUUCAGUGUCUUCUCGGUGCAGCUGGGGGACAAGGAUCUGAAAACGAUUGGGACAGUGACAUUUUAUCUGUCCUGCUACUAUUGCAUCUCCUGCCACCUUCUUCAGGGACGAAGAGGACUAAGAUCAGCCCAAUGGAG
ensembl:lncRNA